AUAUGCUAAUGAGGUGAUUCAUUCUCCGCCAAUCCCUGGAGGACAAGUAGUGGGGUGAUCCAUGCCCCACCAAUCCCUGAGAGAUAAUUAGCAUACUGUUGUCUAUAUAAGUCGAGCGACUUUGCUGCUCGGGGUCCCUCUUCAGAAGAGCUGUAACACUGAGAAGAGCUGUAACACUAAGAAGAGCUGUAACACAGUAAAGGCUUGCUCGAAGAAGAAUCCUGUUGCCGCGCGUCGUUCUUGCUGGCGGGACAUUGGGCGCGCUACAAGUGGUGCCGAAACCUGGUAACCAACAUCGCCAGUGCCGAGGGGACCCUUCAGUGUGCUGAAGAGGAUUCAGAACUGCGAGAAGGUAAAUUAAAAGAAUCAAGAAAAUCCAAUUUGGGUACCUGAGCGUUUGACUCGAAAAUUGCCUUCUGCUCUUCCUGAAGAUGAGACUACGAACCCUACUAUUACUACUGGGGAUGCAUUCUCAACAGAGCAAAGAAAUCUCGAAUUAUCUGAAAGGAAACUGGUCCAUGAAAGCAGAGCAACUAUCAAGACAAUUGCUGAUGCAGAUUGCUGUCUUCAACAGCACUAGGCUGGACCCCAUCACAGUUGAAGACUUUACCUCAUGGAUUACCAAUGCUUUCUCCCUUUUUAAGGAGUGGGCGGGCAUGUUUGUCCCGGGGAGCUAUUGUCCUCCUGGGAUGCGGAGUAGGUCUCUGGCUUAUUGGCCGUUUAAAAAGAGAACAUGCCAGACACAAAGUGGUUGUUUACCAGGCUAUGACCACCAUUAAAAAGGGUACUUCUCCCAACAUAUGGCUGGCCUCUUUGAAAGAUCAAGAGUUCGCCCUAGAUCAUUUUUGUCACAGUCAUGUGGAGUAAUUGUAUCCAGGGACGGGCAACUUUCCUCGAACUCGGACCAACCUAAGACACGGGGCCCGGUGGCAAUAGGGUAACUCUAUGACGGGUAAGGCCGAGUUUGGAUGAGAACGACCUAAGACAGGAGCAAUGACAAGAUUGACGUGACACCCAGAUCUAGACCAGUCAUUUUAUUAAACAAAAAAGGAAGAGAUGUAGAGAGCGGCGCGGCGAAACAAAGAUGGCGCCGACAUCCAGCCUUGUCUGGAUAUAAACGACUUACUGCGCAUGUGCAGGCUUGUCCCCUUGCUAGGGCUCCCUCUAGUGGUGAACAGCGGUACUGCACAUGUGUGGUUUAUGCACCAGGUGUCAGUUGACUGUUAAUAUGCUAAUGAGGUGAUUCAUUCUCCGCCAAUCCCUGGAGGACAAGUAGUGGGGUGAUCCAUGCCCCACCAAUCCCUGAGAGAUAAUUAGCAUACUGUUGUCUAUAUAAGUCGAGCGACUUUGCUGCUCGGGGUCCCUGUUCAGAAGAGCUGUAACACUGAGAAGAGCUGUAACACUAAGAAGAGCUGUAACACUGAGAAGAGCUGUAACACUAAGAAGAGCUGUAACACUGAGAAGAGCUGUAACACUAAGAAGAGCUGUAACACAGAAAAGGCUUGCUCGAAGAAAAAUCCUGUUGCCGCGCGUCAUUCUUGCUGGCGGGACAUUGGGCACGCGACAGCAAACCUCAGUUACCUCAAUCCUUUCUCUAACUCCUCCAUUGGGGACCUUGUUCUCAGUCCAAUGGCUGGCUGUGAGCAUCUGCAUCUGUAUUUGUCAUGCUUUGGUAGAGCCUCUCAGGAGACAGCUAUAUCAGGCUUCUGUCAGCAUGCACCUCUUGGCAUCCUCAAUAAUGACUGGGUUUGGUGACUGUAUGUGGAAUGAAUCCCCAUGUGUGGCAGUCUCUGGAUGACCUUUCCUUCAGUCUCUGUUCCACACUUUUCCUCUUGUGAGUGUUUUGUUUCCCCUUCUAAAAAGUACUAAAGCAUCUACACUUUUCUCUUCUUCUUGAGCUUCAUGUUAUCUAUAAAUUGUAUCUUGAGUAUUUUGAGACUUGCUGGUGUUAUUUAAGGAGUGACCAUCUAUAUUAAAUUCACAUUGUAUUACAUAUUAUAAAUAAUCAAAACAGGAUUUUUUGUGGCAGAGGAUGUGUCCAUAUUCUACAGGGGGGAAAAUUGCCAAUUUCUAUGAGGGACUUGAACACUGGCCUAUUAUAUUGUUUAUAGGGUGAAACUAUGUAAAAUAAGUGACAUCCGAGAGUUACCAAAAAUGACGAUUCCUCAGGUUCAAAUGGAGAAAAACAAGCAAAAAAAAGAUAAACUCAGCUGAAAUAAGUUAACUCUGGCAUUUCCUUUUCCUCUUUCUCUUUUCAUGACUGCACCUUUACUUCCCCCUCAGUUGACUGAGCCUCUAUCUCAUUUUUGUAGCUUAAAAUCUGAUGGGGAGAGCCUUGGUGGAGGGUGGAGAAAUAGUUUGCAGGUGUAAAAGUUCUCAGAAGGCUGAGACUAUUUUGAUCUGGAUUUAUGUACUUAAGUUCUCCUGGGGGUGCUUUUUCUUCUUCAGAUAUUUCCAAUGUUGGGGUUCCUGUUGCUCAGUUUCAAAUGUCACCUUGACAUACCUUAGGUCUACCUGGAACGAGUCUCAACAAGGAAUUAUCUAUAUGAGAAUGUUACAGUUUGACAUACUAGCCUUUAGGUUGUGUAUAAAUCCAUGGUCUUCAGCUUAUGGUACUGUUUAGGGAUGCUGCUGGAUGUGGUUGAUGGAACAGAGGCCUUAUUACUGACUCAUGUAGCCAGUCUUCAUUCUGGUCCAUUUCUCUCAUUCCUGAUUCACAAACACUUAAAAAACCACAUCCUCAGGUUCCCAUCCAUAGAGUGAGUAGGUGCCACUGUCACAGAUUCCCAGACAUACUGCACUGGAAUCUCCUGAUGGAUCUUUUUAUUUUUAUUUUUAUUUUUAUUUUUAUUUUUUGUUAUCUCUCUCUAGCUUCUUUGGCUCUCUAACUGAAACUAAACAAUAUCCUAGAUGUUCAGCACCAGAUUGAGACCUUGGAAACAUCCAGUUCCAUGAGCUAAAUAACUACCAGAUUCUCAGUCUUUCUGAUAUGCAAACAUCCAUUGUUGGAGUACCCAGGCUCUAUUCUGUGGGCCACUCUCAUAAAUCCUUUCAUAAUAUCUAUGCAUUAUGUAAGUUAUGUCCUUGAGAGAAGGUUUUAAAACAUAACUUUGCAUGCACUUUCUUUACCUUUACACUAGACAGUGCAGGCAUGGCCACAGUGCUGAUGUCUGAGAAUUCACCCCUUAUGAAGAGCUCUCAGCCCAGAACAAGGGGAGAAUGGAUGAAAACCAAACAGGAAACAAAAUAUGGGCACACCCAUGUACAACAGGGGUUGAGUAGCAAAGAGAUCCACUAGCUUGUGGAGUUGACACUUCAGGCUAUGUGAGCCCUUGCUGAAGCAGAGGCUGGGUGCCUCUGAUUUCUAAUCACUACUUGUUCAUGACACUUAUCAGCUGCUAUGACAACCAAACUGUCCCUAGGCACUGAAAAGCAAGGUCAACCCCAGCUGAACAUCAGUGUUUAGAGGCAUAGCUCAGCAAAGAGAAGCAAGCAAUCGAACAACUAUUAAUGUUGAGAAGUGAUUUUAAUAAGGGAAUCUUUGCAGACCAAUUGCUUUAGAAAACUUCUUUUGUUCCAAUCUUAACAAUAUCCUGAUCUGUACAAAAGGGAAUGAUUUCAAUGUAAUAGAUAAGGACAUUGAUAGGAAAGAGCUGACAGAAGUCAGAGGUACUGACUAGGAAAGCUAACUCUUGAAUGAAUCCUACCUGGCCAAUCAACUGAUCAGUCCCUGAGACAUGAAAACUAUCUCUGACAUGUUUCUGUGCUUGCUCACUUUCUCUAUACCUCCCCAGGGUAAACCUAGGACUAUCAAGGGAAAAUAUGUUCUAUACUUAGUUAUAUCCAUUCAUGAAUACUAUAAUUCAUCUUCAUAGGCCACAAUACAGUUUAUUUUGAAUGAUUAGACGUAAGCCUUGUCUAGAUGCCCAGAAGAAAGGUCUAUUAGUUCUGAAGGUUGAGAUAGGAUUUGAAACUUAAUUCAUCUUAUCUCUGGCAAUCAAGGUGCUUUGUAUCUAGGGCCAAAUGGAAAUCUUGAAACAUAAGAAAAUAGUUUAGUGAUGACCAAAUACAUCCCAUUAUGUCCAUUAAACUGCAUUCAUGAAACACAUGAAGAAAAGAAAAGCAGUGGCAGGGCCAGGGGAGGGAGAACAUAAGAUCUACAUGUGUUCAUUUUUAAUAAAAGAAGAAGAGGGAAUUUUAAGGAUGAGAAGACUAUUUUCCUUUACGUUCAAAAUUCUACAAUUGAUUCAGAAAACCUCAAGUGGAAUGUUUUCUUUAUAUACAAGGAACCAUGUAAGUAAUUCAUCACUAAAAUGACUCAUCCGUUGUUUUCACUCCACAAUGCAGUACACACCUGCUGCUCAUAACCAUCUUAUCCAUGGUCUUUUGUUCCUGUGCUCUGUUUGAACUCCAGACCCACAGGAGAGCAUGAAGAUCAACUGAGUAACUGGAACUGUCACUGAGAGGCCUUUCUAUCAAUGGGAUUCACUGUGGAGUGUCCUUGGAAUAAGAAGUGAUAAUAAUACCAACUAGAUAUAGGAUCAGAGUAGCUUACACAUUAAUUCAUAAUUAGCAUGGGACAUUUGAAGUGCCAGAAAGAAGCAGGACUGCAUGACAGAUCCCUGAGAAUCAAAUGUAUAUCAGCAUGUAUGGUUUUGCCAUAGGUGCUCCUUACGACUGUGUUGUGGUUUCCAGAACUUAUUUUAAAAGGAAAGGCCACCCAGAUACUGGCCCAACUAUUAUUGAUGCUAUGUUGGGCUUGCAGACAGGAGCCUAGAAUUGCUCUUCUCUGAGAGACUCUACCAGCAGCUGACUGAGACAGACUUAGAUACAGCCAAUCACUGAAGAGAGGUUAGGGACCUCUUUGUAAGAGAUAGGGAAAGGAUUGAAGGAGCUGAAGGGGAUUGCAAUCCCAUAGGAAGAACAAAAGUGCCAACUUACCUAGACCCCUUAGAGCUCCCAGAGACUAAGCCAGCAACCAAAAAGCAUAUAUGGGCUUGUCCAUGGUCCCUGCUACAUAUAUAGCUGAGGACUACAUUAUCUGGGUCACUGGGAAAGGAUAUACUUAAUCCUGUAUAAACUUGACACCCUGGGGAAGGGGGAUGCUAGCUGGGUGAGGUGGGAAUGGAUAGGUGAGUGAGAGAUGACCCUCUCAGAAGCAAACAAAUGGGGGGGGAUAAAGAACUCAUGGAUAGGGGACAAGGAAGGGGACAUUUGGAAUGCAAAUAAAUGAAACAAUUAAUAAAAUUAGAGUACAAAGAAAAAAUUAAGGUCUCUAAUAGGUAGUGCACUAUUUACAGGCCUAAUGUAAGUUUCAUGGCUUUGUGCCCCUUAAGUGGGAGAGAAAGGAUUCUGAUCUGCUAGUUAAUGUCACAGACUGAGAAAUUAGCUAACAAAAUGCAAGGCAGGUUCUCUUUAUGUUCUUGCAAAUGACACAUACACAUGCUUAAAUCUCUAAAUAAAUGCUUACUCCAUAUUUUAAAAGUUGUUAAAAUAAUACUCCUGGUGACAUUGCAUGUAUAUGAAACAGAUCAAUUAUUUCUAGUUCAGCCACCUGCUAAGUGAACAAACUUCUCUGGUUCUGAAUCUGACCAACUCCUUUCACAUUGUUAGGUGCACACUUAACGGUCAGUUAAAGAAAUUUUUAUUCACUAGCAUCUUAAUUAAAAUUAGGUCUCCAUAUAACUCAUUCUCUUUUACAGUGUCACUUAUAUCAUUUAGAGAAUUUAUACAUAUAUAUAUGAUAUUAUUUAUAUAAUUUCUAUUUCCCCUUAUGUCCAGUUGAUUUAGUGGAUGCAAUGAAUGAAUGAAAAUAAUAUUGACAGUGACUAUAUAAAGAACUACUCCUGUUCCUGGAAAGCUCUGGGCACAUUUUAUUUAUUUGCUUGUUUCUCUUCUAAAUUUCUUUGACAUAUAUACAAACACAUAUAUAUGGAAUAAUUUUUUCUUUGAUGCAAAAGUGUAAGUCCUAAGUCAUAUCCAUAUGUGAGUUCAUAUUGGCACAACAAUCAAAUAUGGUAACAAACAGACAUUAUCACAUGAACUUCUGAAGUAUAACUCUUUAGUAUACUGGUCUCUGACUACUCCUGUUGAAGACACACUAUCAGUACAAAUAAUUAGCAAAAUUAAUUUUAAAAAAUUAAUAAAAACAGAGGCAAAAAAUUUAAAAGUAAGCAAGGAGGGGAAUGUGGUAAGAUUUGAAGAAAGGAAAGGGAAAGGUGAAAUGAAGUAAUUAUAAUUUCAAAAAGGAAUUCCACCUAAGGAAUGAAUGAGUUGGAGACAUUCUUACGAUGGGAGUGAUAUGAAACUGAAAAUUCCAAUUAUCACUGCCUCUGUAUUUUCUUCUACUACUUGUUGCUAUUUUGUGUGGUUCUUGCCAGGACUUCUCACUGGUAUAGCUAACCAGAAAUCACUGUGUAGAAUGAGCUAUGUAGGGAUUUUGGACCCUUAAAACACUUUGCAAACUGUGUUUAAGAGGGGCAGAUUAGGGGACUGAAGGCAACUGAUAUAUGAUUGCCUAAGGUAUUGCUUCUACAGUCCUUCUCAGGGCUUCAGUUUGUCUUAUUUUUAGUCUUUCCACCAGGUGGAGUCAAAAGACAGAUUAUUAAAGGGUUAACCUUCAAAUGGUUGGUUAAUGUUUCUUUGUCUUCUUGAAGGAUAAGAACAUUGAAAUCACCAAGCAACUCUUUUCCUUUCCCAUGGUCUUGCUGUUUUUGUUGUUGUUGCCGUUGAUUCGGUUUUUGUUUUCAUCUCUCUUUAACUGUUAUGUCAAUGUGUCCCCCAUCUGUGACUGUGACUGAGAAUGCAGCUAUUGUGAGUAAGAGGUCUCUCCAGACAGUAGAGAGUGGCUGCUGUCCAACACCCCUAACAGCCAGGACACCUGUGACUAUGGGCAGUCUUCUACUCCGCCAAAUUGCUAGCUCUGUCUUCUCUGAAUGGUAAAAUUGGAAAUCCCUUAGGCAUUUCUAAAAGCAUUGAGGAAAUAAAUGAAUAAUUUAAUAAACAUUAGCUACUAUUAAUCCAAUAAUUACAUUUCAGGCAAAAAGAAAAGAGAAGAGAAUCUCUAUUUAGCCCUUUUUCUCUUACGGUAUUAUUUAUUCAACACCAAAGAAUUCCAGGGGAAGAAAAGAAGUAAAGAGAACAGAAAAUAAAAUCAAAAGAAAGAUCUAAACAGAAGCAUUUGAAAACAUUUUCCAAAAGAGUAAAAUGAAUUUGUUCAGGUGUGGUCUCCUGCUUUUACAGCCCUCUUGGCAGGAAGAGACCUCAAUUCCCCUUCCUUUAGUUUUGGGGCCAGGUUAAAUAGUAGUGAAUUGUCCCAGAAAUUUCUUUCUCUUUUCAUGGAACAAAGAAAGGAGAAGUGGAAACAUGUCUCCAUCCCUAACCCAGAAUCAAUCUCCAACUUAUAACCACUUGCAAAUGAAAACUUAGUUUCCUCAAAGAACAUUUAACUACUCUUGAGGGUAGUCUGCCUGCACAGCAGUAGAUGGCCACCAAAAACAUACUCAACAGCAUAUUUUCAUGCAGUGGGCCUUAAGUUCAAUUAGAUAUUGUUGGUUAGUCCCACAAAGUUUGUGUCACUAUGUGUAUGAUAUCCAGGUCUUGCUGCAUAAGUAUACACUGAGUAAGUGAGCAGGAAGCUAUGCUGACAGCAAAGAGCUUUUAAAUAGCAAUAGUAUUGAGAAUUCCAGCAGGAACAUAGGUAUAUGAAUUCUGCUGGACUCAACUAGACUUGAGUAGAAACCAUUUUUUAAGCCACAUAUUCUAUCUCCUAUUUCUCUGCCUGGCAUUGUGAUAACCAUUCUUAGAUGACCUGUAACAGCCUUUUCCUAUUUGAGUGCUAGAGGAGGGUUUGUAUUUGACAUGUCCUCUUUCCAAAAAGAGAAUAGCCUCAUCAGAAUAAAGGCACAUAGUGUUUUCAAAGUUUAAGUAUUUAAACGAUGUUUAAAGUUACAAAAAUGUUCCAGUACCCUACAUAACGAAAGUUUUUGCCUGCUUCCUGGAUACGUACUGGCUAAUACUAAAAGAGUAUAUUAAUAUAAUAUUGUUAACCAACUAAAAAGCCUUAUUUAAAAAAAUAAAAGGACAUCAUAAUUGUUGUCACCUCCUGACCCUGACCAAUUUGUGAGUAAUAGAAUAGAAGUGAUAUUUGUCAAGUGCAUAGCAACAAAAUGGCACAUAGCAACACCAUGGCACAUAGAAUACAAUGGAGAUAAAAACAGAAUUCAGCUUUGGACAGGCUUGUAAGUCAACACAUAAAACAGAGGAGUGACUUAGGAUUCAUUGUUAACUGAGAGAGAACGACAGAGGGAUGGAAAGAGUAAGAAUAUAGGUUUUCAACAAUGAGGCUCAGAUAUAUUAAUAAAAUUUGAAAGACUUUAUUUGUUUGUCCACUACUCCCAGAUGCCUUGAGUUCUUGAGAUUGAAGAUCAACACCAUGCCUAGAGAAAUUUUGCAUUCAUAGCUCUCACUGAAUGUGGUUUCCAAUUAUAUGUUCUUCUUAGCUUUCAUUUCCUUUUCGCUUCUCUGUCUUCAUGCCAUCUCUCCAACCACUUAUCUCCCUUCCUUUCUUCUCUCCAUUCUUCCCUGGCCCUUCCUUCAUAAUAUGCUUUUUUCACAACUAUAGAACUUCUUCGAAUGCUAGGAAUGCAAAUGGAGCGAAAUCCCUGCCCUCCUGUAGCUUUCACUGAAUAAACACUAUGUAUUAAAAGUGAGUCACAUUAAAAAAAUAAACAUUACUUGGAAAAAGAUAACCUUAGCUUUCUAUCAUUGUGACAAAAAACACAGGGAAAUCAUCUGAAAGGAAUGGAAGGGUUUUGGCCUUCCCUUAAGACCUAUCAGUAGUGGUUCAGAACAUCAUGGUGGAGCACAAAGUGGGAUGAGGCCUGUUCUCAUAGUAGCCAAAAAAUAAAGAAUGACAGGAAAAUAAUUGGAGUCCAAGAUCUUCCAUUAGGUCUUACCUCCUAAAGUUUCAACCACCUCCCAAUAACGCCACAGGAUGCUCCCCUCAGCAUUCAGAACAGAAGCUUUGGGGAAAUAUUCCAGAUCAAUGUCAUGACAAGUGGAUUAGAAGCAGAUAAGGAUUGUGGAGAAACUAGAGAAGAAAAGGGAUAGCAGAAGGAAGUAGUGGUGACAUGGUGACUUUAUUUGAGUUUUUCCAGUUGGCUUUUGGAGGACAUUGACAUUAGGUUAAAGUCCUGAAGGUAAUGGAGUGGUGGCAUGAGCACCAUGCUGGGAAAACUGAUCCAAGUAGAAUUACCAUUGUUAAGGCUGUGGAAUACAUGGAAAAUACAAAGAAGAUUUUUGUGAUUGGAGUGGAGGAAAUGUGGAAAUGUAGUAAGAAAAGCAAGUACUGUGGAUGAGAAACUCUUCAAAGGUUUGUGGGAAAAGAAGAUUAAUUUACUGUGAUCUUGGUAAAACUUGAUCACUUUGCUUGUGGAGCUCAGGGUAGCUUGGUUUGUUAAGAAAGAAAUUCAAGUUAAUGGGCAAGUAUAAUGAUCUAAGUGGCAAAUGAAACAACAUGAACCAAAACACAGCUUCCUCUUUUUAUUUAUCAUUUAUUUAUCAAUUAUUUAUCAUUUAUGGUGAUGUAGCUCAUUGAGAAUCACAUGUCAAGUGGAAAAUAUCCUAAAUAAAAAGUGCACACACACACAUCAAAUAUAACAAACACCACAACUUAGCAAUGGAGCCAGGUGUGGGGUGAGGAACAUUUUUCCUCAUGGUACUGAGCUGAGACUAAUACACUUUGCUCUCAUUAACCACUACAGAAAAGCUCCUUCCUGGGACCAAAUGCGUAUGGAAUGAGUGAGAGUCAUAAUUCCUAGGACUGUUUCUAUUAAAUGUGUAUUGUCACACCAUUGCCAAAGCAAAAUGUUUGAUGGCAGUGUAUGUUAAGCAGGUUCUAGUGUGAAAAUUGUAGCUCUCCUCUCUCUCUAAAAAUAGUUUAUGCUAGAGCACUUUUGAAUGACCAUGGUCCAAGAACACACAUUUACAUUAUUCCAAAUGUAGACUCAGUUUCAUGAAUCAUGCUAGAGUAAAAGAAAGCACAAGUUAAUGCAAGUUUAAGACACAUUGCUGGCUACAUCGGAGGUGGUUACAGCAAAAUGGGGAAACUUUCUACAGGUCUACGAUGUUAUCUGAUGACAUAACCAAGCUUUAGGGAACAUGGGAAUUAGUAUUCUGCUGAGUUAAUAGAAUCCAAAAGGUUUUAUCUAUUAGAUAUAAGGUAUUAGUUAAGACAUUGUGGUGGUGGAUAGACAUAGCUAUUCUGGUGGGCUAGAAUGACUCCAAGACAAGGCAAUUAGCCUCUGGACAUGCAGCCUUCUAAUCUCUCCACAGAACUGCAAUUCUAAUCAGUCCACUAGUCUCUACUAACACUUCUUUGCAGAAGCUUUCAUUCACAGUGAAUUUUCUUGAUAUCUAUAGCGUUUCCAGAGACUCACAUUCUGAACAUAAUUUGUAAGUGGAUCAAACUAAGCCCUUUUUAUUGUUAGAGACCUGAAACAUCUAAGAAGGGAAGACUCAUGGAAGAGUUAAAUAAAAGGUAUUUGGAACUGAGUUUGGAUGUGAAUUUCUCAGAGGCAAAGUUUGCUGAUGAAGUUGGAACAAUUUCUAAGGAAGCAAUUGUGAAUUUAGUGAAAGGUGCUGAAUAUGUAAAAUUUUAAGAUCCCUGAUAUGUUGACAGAUCAAAUCCUUAGCAUCUUCAAGAAUAAAGAAAGAGUUUUGGCUAUAAUGUCUUCCCUAUGUGUUUGUUUUCCCUGAUUAAGUUAGAUGAACUGCCUCUGUGGACUUUACAGAAUUUAGGAUUUUUUAUGAUGUGUGUGUGUGUGUGUGUGUGUG